rnacentral:rRNA from 1 species
GACGAACGCUGGCGGCGUGCCUAAUACAUGCCAGUUGAGCGCUGAAGGUUGGUACUUGUACCAACUGGAUGAGCAGCGAACGGGUGAGUAACGCGUGGGGAAUCUGCCUUUGAGCGGGGGACAACAUUUGGAAACGAAUGCUAAUACCGCAUAAAAACUUUAAACACAAGUUUUAAGUUUGAAAGAUGCAAUUGCAUCACUCAAAGAUGAUCCCGCGUUGUAUUAGCUAGUUGGUGAGGUAAAGGCUCACCAAGGCGAUGAUACAUAGCCGACCUGAGAGGGUGAGCGGCCACAGUGGGACUGGGACACGGCCCAAACUCCUACGGGGGGCAGCAGUAGGGAAUCUUCGGCAAUGGACGAAAGUCUGACCGAGCAACGCCGCGUGAGUGAAGAAGGUUUUCGGAUCGUAAAACUCUGUUGGUAGAGAAGAACGUUGGUGAGAGUGGAAAGCUCAUCAAGUGACGGUAACUACCCAGAAAGGGACGGCUAACUACGUG